rnacentral:pre_miRNA from 1 species
GAGCUUAUCCAUAAAAGUACAGUAUCGUCAGUAAACCUGUACUUUUAUGGAUAAGCUAGU